rnacentral:tRNA from 1 species
GGCGCGUGGCUCAGUGGUUAGGGUAUUCGGCUCACGAUCGUAAGGCCGUGAGUUCGAGUCCCAUAGGCGCUA